CCUACGGGAGGCAGCAGUGAGGAAUAUUGGUCAAUGGGCGGGAGCCUGAACCAGCCAAGUCGCGUGAGGGAAGACGGUCCUAUGGAUUGUAAACCUCUUUAGGCGGGGAGCAAUGCCGGGCACGCGUGCCCGGAGGGAGAGUACCCGCAGAAUAAGCAUCGGCUAACUCCGUGCCAGCCGCCGCGGUAAUACGGAGGAUUCGAGCGUUAUCCGGAUUUAUUGGGUUUAAAGGGUGCGUAGGCGGAUUUUUAAGUCAGCGGUAAAAUGUCCGGGCUCAACCCGGGCCGGCCGUUGAAACUGGGGAUCUUGAGUGGGCGAGAAGUAUGCGGAAUGCGUGGUGUAGCGGUGAAAUGCAUAGAUAUCACGCAGAACUCCGAUUGCGAAGGCAGCAUACCGGCGCCCGACUGACGCUGAGGCACGAAAGCGUGGGGAUCGAACAGGAUUAGAUACCCUUGUAGUC
rnacentral:rRNA from 1 species